rnacentral:tRNA from 1 species
GCCUUGGUAGUUCAGUGCUGGAAUUCUUGCCUUCCAUGUGGGAGACCCAGGUUUGAUUCCUGGCCAAUGCG